AGAGAGAGACAUGCGCGCAUAUCAAUAAGCGGAGGAAAAGAAACUAACAAGGAUUCCCUUAGUAACGGCGAGUGAAGCGGGAAGAGCUCAAAUUUGAAAUCUUCAAGGUUUUACCUUGACGAAUUGUAGUUUAAAGAAGUGUUUUCUGUUGAAGUUUUGGUAAAAGUUCUUUGGAAUAGGACAUCAUAGAGGGUGAGAAUCCCGUAUUUGACCGUUACUUUCCAGCUGUGUGAUACACUUUCAAAGAGUCGGAUUGUUUGGGAAUGCAGUCCAAAAUGGGUGGUAAAUUUCAUCUAAAGCUAAAUAUUGGCGAGAGCCCGAUAGCGAACAAGUACCGUGAGGGAAAGAUGAAAAGAACUUUGAAAGGAGAGUUAAACAGUACGUGAAAUUGUCAAAAGGGAAGCGUUUGACACCAGUGUUGUUUUUCCGAAAAUCAAUUACGAAUGUUUUGCUUUUAAGAAGUUAUGACUUCAUCGGCUUGCUUCUUUCUUUACGAAACUUUCUUAAUGCACUUUUCAGGUUAACAAGUCAACAUCAAUUUCUUUUGUUGUAAAAGGGUAAGAGGAAGGUGGCUUCAGCUUCGGCUGCAAGUGUUUAUAGCCUUUUAACCUCUGCAAUCGGAGAGAUUGAGGUACUGCAGCGUAGACUCUUCGGGGUUAGAUACAUUUGUGCUAAGUUAUAGUCCUUUCAUAGACAACUUGUUGACUAUGAUGCAUCAUGUAGCUUACUCGCUUAUGCUAUUUUACCUACGCUUAGGAUGUUGACAGCAGUAUAGACUGU
rnacentral:rRNA from 1 species